AUUAGUAACGAGAAAUCCUGUGAAAAAAACGAUCGCCUGCCAGUGGAAGGCUUUCUGCAUUCCUGCAAUCUACGCAGAGUAAAUUGGUCCCUAAGGAACCCCCGAAAGGGCUGCCGUCUGAUGGGUACAUGAAAUUGGAUGAUCUGGCAGAGGACUGCGCCCUCUUCCCCUCACUCUCCUUUCCCUAAUAUGAACCUUGAGUCAUCAAAGCCUUUCUGACUCGGGCUGGCCCAGUCGCGAGUCUAUUUAUAAUCGUGACUAUUGUCAUCGUCAAUAAGGUUGAAACUUCUAGGAAAAAACUUUGAAUUGGGAGGGCGAUCCUCCCGGUGAACUGACCGUACCCCAAACCGACACAAGUGAACAAGUAGAGUAUACUAGGGCGCUUGAGAGAACCAUGUCGAAGGAACUCGGCAAAAUGACCACGUAACCUCAGGAGAAGGGUGCUCUCCCAUCUUUUGAUUAGGAAAGCGGCUCUCGUAGUUCUUGGUCUGUGAAGAU
rnacentral:ncRNA from 1 species